rnacentral:rRNA from 1 species
GACGAACGCUGGCGGCGUGCUUAACACAUGCAAGUCGAACGGAAAGGCCCUGCUUGCGUGGGGUUCUCGAGUGGCGAACGGGUGAGUAACACGUGAGUAACCUGCCCUUGACUUUGGUAUAACUUCAGGAAACUGGGGCUAAUACCGGAUAGGCGCUCCUGCUGCAUGGUGGGGGUUGGAAAGUUUCGGGGGUUGGGGUUGGACUCCCGACUUAUCAGCUUGUUGGGGGGGUAGUGGCUUACCAAGGGUUUGACGGGUAGCCGGCCUGAGGGGGUGACCGGCACAAUUGGGACGGGGAUACGGCCCGACCCCCUCCGGGGGGAGGAAGUGGGGAUUUUGGAACAUGGGGCGGAGCCCGAUUGAAGGACCCCGGCGGGGGGGAUGACGGCCUUGAGUUUGUAACCCGCUUCGGCCUGUGACGAGGUGUGAGUGACGGUAAUGGGUAAAGAAGCACCGGCUAACUACGUG